rnacentral:rRNA from 1 species
AUUGAACGCUGGCGGCAGGCCUAACACAUGCAAGUCGAACGAGCGGCGGACGGGUGAGUAAUGUCUGGGAAACUGCCCGAUGUAGGGGGAUAACUACUGGAAACGGUAGCUAAUACCGCAUACCCUCGGAUGUGCCCAGAUGGGAUUAGCUAGUAGGUGGGGUAACGGCUCACCUAGGCGACGCUCCCUACCUGGUCUGAGAGGAUGACCAGCCACACUGGAACUGAGACACGGUCCAGACUCCUACGGGAGGAAGCAGUGGGGAAUAUUGCACAAUGGGCGCAAGCCUGAUGCAGCCAUGCCGCGUGUAUGAAGAAGGCCUUCGGGUUGUAAAGUACUUUCAGCGAGGAGGCGUUACUCGCAGAAGAAGCACCGGCUAACUCCGUGCCAGCCGCCGCGGUAAUAC